rnacentral:tRNA from 1 species
GUCGGCGCUGCCGGGUUCGGGGCGGCCUGGACGUUCUGGGGCCAGGAUGCCGCGCUCUGGGCAGCCGCCCUCGUUCUGGCCGGGGCGCUGGCC